rnacentral:lncRNA from 1 species
AUCAUUAAAUAAUCUUGAAAUCAAAGUAAUAAUUAAAUACAAAUAAAUUGCUCGAAUUGUACAUAUAUCUGAAUCAUGUAGUGAAGAAAAUACAACAACAACAGCCAAUGGCUCAAAUUCCCUAUCAACUUCUAGUCUCAACACUUUUGAGUGUCAGAAGCAUUACUCUGCUACUAGUUAACAAACAUAUAAUUAGUAAUUUGCCAUUCACUUCCCUUUUAGGCCUAACACAUUUUCUAUAAAAGAGCCACAGAGUGAACUCAGCAGGAAACACUCAAUUUCAACCUACGUAGGACCAGGAAUUUCAACCAAAAAAAAAGUGUGCAAUUGCUUAUCCUAUCCUAUUGCUACUAGAAAGAAAGUGAACAAUUAAUUUCAGUGAAUAAAUUAAAAAAAAAAUUACUUCUGCAGAUACUCAAGCUAAGAACACAUUAACCCAUUAAAGACUCCAAAUUGCAUCAAACAAAUUGUUGUUAAACAAGUAAAACAAAGAAAGAGAGUUAAGGAAGCUGACCAAGUAGUAGGGGAGCUGAAGAAAGACUGCCAGUGAAUGUAAGAGAAAAUAAAAUGCAAGAAAUGGUGAAGUGCAGCUUUUCAUGUCAACUUGAAAUUGAGUUUUCUGUUUUUUUUUUUUUUUUUAAUCUUUUGGAUUUUUCAAACAAAGAAAAUGAGGAGCAACCAGGGAGAUAAAAAGGGCGCCAAGGCAACUGUGUGUUGGGUUUAGAGCCAAAAAAAAAAAGAAUAAGACAUCGUGUUCUUGUGGAGACCAGACCUAUUACGUAACGUCCCC